CCGGCUAACUGGGUGCAUUUUGGAGAGUCGUAAUUUCCUCUUGGUGUUCUUCUUGGCAAGCAAAUGCUGCUUCCCAGCUCUCCUCCGAACUAUUUUUCCUCCACCUGUCACCCUGAAUCUUUUCGCAGAUGCCUUGUGGGUUUUCAUUUUGUAGCCUUUAGCAGCAGUGACUGUAAGAGAUUGAAGUCUCUGAGUGAAAGUAGAGAUAGUAGAGGGUUUUCGAGAGAAAAACGAGAGAGACCCAGAAAUGCUAUGACUCGAACUGAGUCUGGGUGAGUUGUUCAACUUAUUGAAGGGCGAGACGUGAGCAGACACAUAAGAGAGUCGGGCUGUUGUAGGAAAGUGUAGCGGGCAAAACCUGAAAUUGAAAGAGAAGAUGGUCGAAGAAGCCAUUGUUGAAGAUUGUAAUUGGGUUCUUGCUUGCCGCUGUAAGCAAGCGCUUUGAAACAGGAAGAAAGAAAGAAAAGGUGUGACGUGGAGCGAUAUGGUGC
rnacentral:misc_RNA from 1 species